AGGAGUCGCCAUGUGAUCCCAGGAAGAGAGGAUGGAUAAGGCCGGUGUCCUUGGAAUCCCAAGAGCAACAUGGAAGUCUCCAUCAGUAGGCAUGCAAUGAAUCAAAACAAGAGUGAGUUGUGAAAUCAAAUGUCUACAAAUGACAGCUGGCUAGUGACUGGAGAAACACAUCUGUCCUGUCUUACUGAUGGCCUAUGAUGUGGUGUAGCAUUUGGAAUUUUCCAUUGCAGUUUUCAAAGUCAUCUCCAAAGUUUAUGGUAUCAGUAUUAGAUUGGAAAAUCAUACUCUAAAACUUUAUUUUAAAGAAAGACUGGUGAAUCAUAAUAGACAAAUGAUUACAAAAAUAAAGGCAAGAAAAGUUAUGAACUGCUGAACUGAAGAAGAUAAAGGAUUUCACUUCUAAGUGGAAAUCACAAACUUGUAGAGACAAAGAAAAUGUUCAUGAUGGGACACACCUCGGUUCAAAUGCUGGACUGGUUCCACCCACUCUUUCAACCAUUACACUUAUUUUCAAAGUCCAAGACUUGCCUGAUAUGGGCUGUCAUAUGGAGACACACUAGCUUCAUAGGAUGGACAUGCUCUCUAAGACUGAGGAACAUGGAGGAAGAGGAAAGGAGAGACGAGACGCAGCAGGAUGAUUUCUUCUGGAAAUGACACAUGGUUGCCUUAGGAGCUCGCUUUCAGCUGUGGUAAUCUGCACAAAGCCACACAGCACUGAGUCCACUAAGACUUCAUCAUGGCUGGAGGUGUAAAUGGGCAGGAAAAAGGACACCCGUCCAUGUUGAGUGUGUAGACUGAAAACUGAAUUUGUGUUUAAUUCAGAGAGGAACUUCCUCUUCCCCGGUCUUAUUUCUUCCAAUGCUUUAUUUCUCCUGUGAUCUAAAUCAAUAAAAGAGUUUUCUCUUGAAAAGA